GGUAAAUAAUUUUUGCAGCAUACAAGCUAAAUAAAUUCAUACAUAUUGUAAUACAGAUAACCAAAGUAUAAAAUUUAAUUUACAGUGACAGGUGGGCCCACGAACGACCAAAAGUAUCAAAAGUGGUAAACCUACAGUUUUUGAGGAUGCAAGUCCAACUGUAGCCCUCAACAAAGUGAGCUAUCUAUCGACUAUCCUGAGCUUGAAAUGGAUGGAAAGGAUGGUGGUGAGAUUAUAUAAUCCUAGUGAGUAAACAAAUAUCAUCUAAAAUAUCUAAAGUUGAGUAAAUGGAGACAGAUAAAAUAGAUUAGCAUAAAAAGGAUUCACAGCAUUUCGAACACGUUUUAAUAAGAUAAAAUAGAUUCAUUUCACGCAAAUAAACAACGAGCCUUAUGAUUUCCUGAAAAGUUUGGCUCGUGCCAAAAUCAUUCUCAUACUUAGUUGUCAGGGAUACCUUGGCCGAGGGCUAUCCCAAUCGAGUCCGCCAAGGGUGUUAACAUGUACGCAUAAAUCAUGUUUUUCAUUUUAAAAACAUAGUCGUUCCUUGACAUUGGCUGAGUUCACCCUCACGUAGUGGUUUGGCAUGAAGUGAACUCUAAAGUUUUAACCCCAGGAGUUAUCCAACUGCACCUCUCAUACUGAGGUAUGAAUAUCAUAGGGUUACCGUGCCCCUCUAAUAGGCUGGUCCACGGAAUCCGUCCAAUACAACGACCAAUUUAUAACCCACCAAUUCAAUAAAAUUCAACAACAUGACGUGGAAAUUAUUUUAUUUUACAGCCUCUCAAGGCAAAUCAACAGUUCAUACUUUUUCAGCACAUUUACCAAAUUCAGCCAUUCAUGCCCACAUUAUCAUAAGCCAUUCAAUUCAAACCAUAACUUACAACACAACAAUUAGUCUCCAAUUACACCAUUUUCAAAACCAUCAUUCAAUUUCAAGAGAAUUUUAUAAAAUCAUUUCAUUUAAUCACAUUUUGCUUAUAAAACAUAAAGAUUUACCAUUUAAACUCAUUUUUCAUAAAAUCACAAAAACGAAUUAAAAUUCACUUCAAAUAAUCAAGAUGAUGAUAAGGUUACUCACAAUAUCGAGAAUCGAGGUACUCUUAAUCCCGGUCUUCGGGUACAAUCUCCUUACCCUUAUUGGAAGUUUCACCACCUAGACAUAAUGCACAACAAGCAAUUUACUGUAUUUGUGAUAAGCCGUUAUAAAACUAAUUUAGGCUUUAUAUGAAUGCAUGAAAUGGGAUGUGAAAUGUUCAGAUUAUUAUCUAAAUACGAUGUUCUACGUAGGUUCAAUUGUGUAUGGGGCUGAAAUGGUAUUUACCUAAUUCACACUAUAUGCCGGUUAAUUGGCUAAAAUAUCCAAUUCAACUCUAAAUAAAUUCAUUUCACUUCCAAUACUCCAAUUCAUCAAAUAUCACCUAGAUAACAUGAAUUAUAGCAAAAUCAUCUUUAACAUUUUCUCUUGGAAAAAUUCGGCCAUGGAGGGUUCAUGAAUAAUAUGUGGUUUUUCAAGCUUGAUUUUUACACUUUACAUCAUAAAACAACUAAAAAAACCUAAAUAGCAUGAAAUUCAUCAAAGUCCAUUUUCCAAUUUCUCUCUUGAAAAAUUCAGCCAAUGGGUGUGGGUGAAGGGCAUGAAAUUUCUUGCUUGUUUUCCAUGCUAAACAUUACAAAACAACUCAAAACACUAGAAUAGCAUGAAAUCUAGCUAAAUGCAAGAUCAAAACCCCUCCCCCCAUGUCCGGCCAGCAAAGGUAACUUCAUGCACACUUGAUUCUCAACCAUGGAAAAGGAAAAAGAAUGCAUAGGAAAGGUAGAUCACAAGCGAAAAUCAAGAAAUUUUACCUUUACUUGCUUAAUUCCUUGAAAUCCAUCAAUUUUCCCUUGAAUUUUUGCCCACUAGGGUUUGUUCUCUUUAUUCUUGUUUUAGCCGACCAUGAAGAAUGAAAUAAGAGAGGUGUGUGCUGGUUUUUUUUUUUUUUAAAAGGAAAUAUUAAAAUAACUAAAGCUUGCCAUGUGUCACCUUUUAAUUGGUCCAUUUUUAAACUUAAUAAUCAAGCAUUCACCCACCACCACAUAAAAUAUCUCAAUUAUCCAAAGUAUAAUAGGUAAAAUUCAAGGGCUUGACAAGUGUCAUGGUGGUGCAAAAUUUCAAAAAUUCUAAUUUUGCCCCCAAAGACACGUAAAAUGACCAUUUUGCUCUUAUGCUCGAAAAAAUGUCAGAAUUAAAAUUUUUCACUUCUCCAGCUCAAAUUAUGUUCCAAUAGUCAAACUUGAUCAAAAUUCCAUCCACCAUUCCAAUUUUGCCCUCGAGUGGCAAAAUGACCAUUUUACCCCAACGUUAUGAAAAUUCCAAUUUAACUCUAAAGCAAUCCCUGAACUCCAAAUCACCAUAUUAAGUCAUUCUAAGGUUCAAUAGCUCUCGAAUGCAUCUUAAAAUCUCUAUUUGGACUAGUUUGAGGCUUAAAUCAACUUAAUUGUACUAUUAGGUAUAAUAUUACCUUUUAACGAUUUUUGAGGCAUUCAAGUAUGCAGACAUUCUAUCAAGUACCUAUACAAUAUGGAAAAUAUAUUACAGAGCUAGGCUUGACAUAUACACUCGUUUGGUAUGCCAAUAUGAGGUGGCAAAUGUUUAAUAUUAUUUUGACCCUAAGUUAUGAAAUGUGACUUACCAGUUUAUGAUGGAAUGAUGAACACGUCAGAUUAAUAGGCUUGCUUGCGCUUAGUGGACUACGUCCAUUGGGCUUGUCAUGACUCGAAACUUCCCUCGAGCCUGUAACAACUGUCGUGAUGUCCCGAUAGACAUUCAUUGCCCGAAAUGCCAACCGAAACCUCGCAAGGCUUUAAUAUCAAUUUUCGCACCUCCCCUGUGAGCAACAGUUGUUCAAUAUCAUGUUUUGAGAGAUUAUAAACUAUUUCCAAAUCAAAACAGUAUAAAAAUAAUUUUUUCUCAAAGGGGCAUUGUAGUAAUUUCUCCUGAAAAAUCUCGAAACCAGUUAAAAAUGUAGUAUGCAAGUGGAAAACACAUACUUCAUAAUCAAAAAUAAGUUUAGAUAUCUAAAACGGUAAUUUAAAGUGAAAUUAUAACUAUUUGAAUAUAAUAAAAAUAUUCAAUAAAAUAUUAUAUUUUCUUAUAAAACAAUAUUUAUAGAGUUACCGGUAAAUAAUUUUUGCAGCGUAAAAGCCAAAUAAAUUCAUACAUACUGUAAUACAGAUAACCAAAGCAUAAGAUUUAAUUUACAGUGACACGUGAGUCCACGAACGACCAAAAGUAUCAAAAGCAAUAAACCUACAGUUUUUGAGGAUGCAAGCCCAAUUGUAGCCCUCAACGAAAUGAGCUAUUUAUUGACUAUCUUGAGCCUAAAAGGGGUGGAAAGAAGGGUGGUGAGAUUAUAUAAUCCCAGUGAGUAAACAAAUACCAUCUAAAAUAUCUAAAACUAAGCCAAUAGAGACAGAUAAAAUAGUUUAACAUACUGUAAUUCAUCACCUUUCAACUCAUUUUAACCAAAUAAAAUCAAUUCAUAUAAAUCGAGUAAUCAACAUGGCUUAUAAAUUUCUUAAAAGCUUUGGCUCGUGCCAAAAUCAUUCUCAUACUCAGUUAUCAGGGAUACCUUAGCUGUGGGCUAUCCCAACCGAGUUCGCCAAGGCUAUUAAAAAGUUAUGUACGUAUAAAUCAUGUUUUUAUUUUGAAAACAUAGCCGGUCCUUGGCGUUGGCUGAGUUCACCCUCACAUGGUGGUUUUGCGUGAAGUGAACUCUAAAGUGUUAACCUCAGGAGUUAUCCAUCCGCACCUCUCAUACUGAGGUAUGAAUAUAAUAAGGUUACCGUGCCCCCUCUAAUAGGCUGGUCCAUGGAACUCGUCCACUGCAGGACUAAUCAAUAACUCACCAAUUCAAUAAAAUUUAAUAGCAUGACAUGGCAAUUUUAUCAUUAUGCAGCCUAUCAAGGCAAACAACAGUUUAUUCAUUUUCAACACAAGUACCAAUUCAACCAUUCAUGCCAAUAUUAUCAUAAGCCAUUGAAUUCAAACCAUGAUUUAUAACACAACAAUUAGUCUCCAAUUACUCCAUUUUCAAAACCAUCUUUCAAUUUCAAGACAAUUUUAUAAAAUCAUUUCAUUUAAACACAUUUUGUUUAUAAAACAUAAAGAUUUACCAUUUAAACUCAUUUUCCAUAAAAUCACAAAAUCGGAUAAAAACCACUUUAGAUAAUUAAGACGAUAGUAAGGUUACUCACUAUUUCGAGAGUUGAAUUCAGAGUACUCUAAUUCUUGAUCCUCGGGUACUAUCCCUUUACUUUUGCCAGAAUGGUCACCACCUAGACAUAAUGCACAAUAAGCCAUUUACUACAUUUGUGCUAAAUUGUUAUAAAACCAAUUCAGGCUCUAUACUAAUGCAUGAAAUGGGAUGUAAAUUGUUCAGAUUAUUGUCUAAACACGGUGUUCUACACAAAUUCAAUUGUAUACCUAAACAAAACGGUAUUGGCCUAACUCGAUCUAUCACUUGAUUAAUUGGCCAAUAUGUCCAAUUCAACUCCAAAUAAUUGCAUCUCUCUCCCAAUACUUUGAAUCACCAAACACAAGUCAAAUAACAUAAAAUUUAGUAAAACCAUCCUCAUAUUUUCUCUUGAAAAAUUCGGCCAUGGUGGGUGCAUUAACACUAUAAUUUUUCAAGCUUGAUUCUCACACCAUAAAUCACAAAUUCCUAACCAAAUCACUUGAAAUAAAAUCAAAAUCAUCCUCAAUAUUCCACAUGGAGAAUUCGGCCAAUGAUGGGUGAUGAAAAAACAUGAAUUUUUCUUGCUUGAUUUUCAUGCUACACAUCACCAAUCAACUAAAAACACUAAAAGACAUUGAAAUCAAGCAUCAAAACCUCUCUCUAAGUGUUCAGGCAGCAAGAUACCCAUCAUGAAACCAUGUGAUUCAACCAUGGAAAAUGAAAAAUAAUAUAUGGGAAAGGUAGAUCACAAGUCAAAAUCCAGAAAUUUUACCUUUGAUUGCUUGAUUAGUUGAGAUCCACCAAUUUUCUCUUGAAUUUUCACCCUAGGGUUCUUGUUCUUUCUUUUCUUCCUUUGGUCUUGCUU
rnacentral:lncRNA from 1 species